AGUGAACGCUGGCGGCAGGCCUAACACAUGCAAGUCGAACGGCAGCACAGUAAGAGCUUGCUCUUACGGGUGGCGAGUGGCGGACGGGUGAGGAAUACAUCGGAAUCUACUUUUUCGUGGGGGAUAACGUAGGGAAACUUACGCUAAUACCGCAUACGACCUACGGGUGAAAGCAGGGGAUCUUCGGACCUUGCGCGAUUGAAUGAGCCGAUGUCGGAUUAGCUAGUUGGCGGGGUAAAGGCCCACCAAGGCGACGAUCCGUAGCUGGUCUGAGAGGAUGAUCGGCCAGACUGGAACUGAGACCCGGUCCAGACUCCUACGGGAGGCAGAAGUGGGGAAUAUUGGACAAUGGGCGCAAGCCUGAUCCAGCCAUACCGCGUGGGUGAAGAAGGCCUUCGGGUUGUAAAGCCCUUUUGUUGGGAAAGAAAAGCAGCAGGUUAAUACCCCGCUGUUCUGACGGUACCAGAAGAAUAAGCACCGGCUAACUUCGUG
rnacentral:rRNA from 1 species